GUUCCUAUUUUAACGUAUAUACAAAGAUAAACGUUGAACGUUACACCUCCUGGAAACGCUUCGGGCUAUGACUUCAAGGCGACUUUAAACUCCCCCACAUUCAAAAUAUAUCAACUUUCAUUUGGCUCUUGCUCGGCUCAGUAGUUUAGCAGGCUAGCACGGAGAGACGAGGGCUGCUCCCUUUCGCCUCUGCUCAGUCUGCCCAGCACACCAACACCAUACAUUCCGCACCAUGGCUGCCACGGACGUUGACGUGUUUUCGAAUGAAGAGAAGCGUAGCCUGGGUUUGGGCGGACAUGUUGGAUUUGACAGCCUCCCUGACCAACUGGUCAGUAAAUCGGUCACACAGGGAUUUUGUUUUAACAUUCUCUGUGUAGGGGAGACUGGUAUCGGCAAGUCAACGUUAAUGAACACUCUCUUCAACACCAUGUUUGA